GGUAGAAUGGCUGAUAAUAAGUGGUAAAUUGUAAAUUUAUUAAUGGGAAAUAUUCCCUUCUAUCA
rnacentral:tRNA from 1 species